rnacentral:snoRNA from 1 species
AGAAUUUUUUUUUCAGUGCGGACAACCAGUACUAGCAAACCGUGUUGCUUAAUUAUCUCAGCCGAGAGAUAGCUAGGCGUCAAGUACUUGGUGAGAUUGAUUCUAUGGAUCAUCUUAAUGCCCUUUCGUUCAAUAGUGUUUAUUUCCUAUUGAACGGGGCUGGUAGAUCCUACAAUU